rnacentral:rRNA from 1 species
CCUACGGGAGGCAGCAGUGGGGAAUAUUGGNCAAUGGGNGCAAGCCUGAUCCAGCCAUGCCGCGUGAGUGAUGAAGGCCUUAGGGUUGUAAAGCUCUUUCACCGGGGAAGAUAAUGACGGUACCCGGAGAAGAAGCCCCGGCUAACUUCGUGCCAGCAGCCGCGGUAAUACGAAGGGGGCUAGCGUUGUUCGGAAUUACUGGGCGUAAAGCGCACGUAGGCGGAUAUUUAAGUCAGGGGUGAAAUCCCNGAGCUCAACUCUGGAACUGCCUUUGAUACUGGGUAUCUUGAGUAUGGAAGAGGUAAGUGGAAUUCCGAGUGUAGAGGUGAAAUUCGUAGAUAUUCGGAGGAACACCAGGGGCGAAGGCGGCUCACUGGGCCAUUACUGACGCUGAGGUGCNAAAGCGUGGGGAGCAAACAGGAUUAGAUACCCUGGUAGA